GAAAAGAGUGCAAUACCUAUAAUCUGAGGAUACUUUAAAUCGUCUUAUACCUAUUCCAAAAAUAUAUUUCUGGAAUAAUGAUGUAGGUAAAUUUUUUUUGAAUAAAUCUGCAAGAGUUUCAUAUGAAUUGGUUUGCAAGAUUUCUAUCUCUCUAUUUUUCUAUAAUUUAUGAGGAUAGAAUAACUUAGGAGUAAUGUGUUUUGUAAUAUCGCUCUUUGUAUAACUUGAAUUCAUUUGUGCAAUACAAGCAGAAUUAUCAGCAUAGAUAAUUGUUGGUUUCUGAACCAAUAUCACAUGACUGUUGUAUAUGAUUGAUCAUUCUACGAAGCCAUACACACAUGUAUCACUCAUAUUUAAUUCGCCAAUUUAAAAUUCUGCAUUAGCAUAUUUAAAUUUCAAAUUUAUACCAU
rnacentral:lncRNA from 1 species